rnacentral:rRNA from 1 species
GUGCCAGCAGCCGCGGUAAUUCCAGCUCCAAUAGCGUAUAUUAAAGUUGUUGUGGUUAAAAAGCUCGUAGUUGAACCUUGGGCCUGGCUGGCCGGUCCGCCUCACCGCGUGCACUGGUCCGGCCGGGCCUUUCCCUCUGUGGAACCCCAUACCCUUCACUGGGUGUGGCGGGGAAACAGGACAUUUACUUUGAAAAAAUUAGAGUGCUCCAGGCAGGCCUAUGCUCGAAUACAUUAGCAUGGAAUAAUAAAAUAGGACGCGCGGUUCUAUUUCGUUGGUUUAUAGGACCGCCGUAAUGAUUAAUAGGGACAGUCGGGGGCAUCAGUAUUCAACUGUCAGAGGUGAAAUUCUUGGAUCAGCUGAAGACUAACUACUGCGAAAGCAUUUGCCAAGGAUGUUUUCAUUAAUCAGGAACGAAAGUUAGGGGAUCGAAGACGAUCAGAUACCGUCGUAGUCUUAACCAUAAACUAUGCCGACUAGGGAUCGGACGGUGUUAUUCAUGACCCGUUCGGCACCUUACGAGAAACCAAAGUGCUUGGGCUCCAGGGGGAGUAUGGUCGCAAGGCUGAAACUUAAAGAAAUUGACGGAAGGGCACCACCAGGGGUGGAGCCUGCGGCUUAAUUUGACUCAACACGGGGAAACUCACCAGGUCCAGACACAAUAAGGAUUGACAGAUUGAGAGCUCUUUCUUGAUUUUGUGGGUGGUGUGCAUGACCGUUCUUAGUUGGUGGGGUGACUUGUCUGCUUAAUUGCGAUAACGAACGAGACCUUAACCUGCUAAAUAGCCCGCAUUGCUCCGGCAGUGCGCUGGCUUCUUAGAGGGACUUUCG